UGCUACGUUUCUUGCGCUUGCAAGUUUUUUUGCCUGCGGCACUUGUUAGUAAUGGUUUGAUACAUAAUGCAGACAAAAAGGGCGUACCAGUUGCCAUAGCAGAGUUGGCGCUGAUACUGGAAGAUGGAGAACUUGCAGCGGAAACGUUAACAGCAACGACACCUGAGGAAGUAGUAGAGUCUGACGUAUCGGAAGACGCGACAGAUGACGAGGAAGAGGAAGACACUCCAGAUGACGAGGAAGGGGAGGAAGACAUUCCGUUCUUGACGGCAGCAGAUGCCCCAUUGACCACGCCAGUCCUACAUGGACGAUUAGCCUGCCUUUUUCAUUCAAAAUUGGUCAUGACUGACGUGUAACCACCAGGGUAAACGGCGAUGCCAGGAAAUUCCCAUUUAACCAAUAGGCCUUGCCACUCGUCAUCCCAGAUGUUGUGGUGCCACUCAUAGUCGUCGUAUGAGAAACAUCCAGGGAACUUGCAAGUUAGAGUAGGGAGCGUGGUGCCGGACGAAUCAAGCAUGAUUUCGAUACCGAUGGGAUAAUGCUGAGGGGAUGACACAAGAUCGGGAGUGGGCCCAGUACUGUUGUGAAGGGCGAUGAGCUCGUGUCGAACGAGAUAUGCGCCUGCGCAAGUAAGCAUGAGUGUCAUAGGCCACUUUUUAAUCUCGGCAUCAUAAUUGUGCUGAGCUAUGCAAAACCAAUCAAGUGUGGUAGCGUCAACUUGGGUGCAACUGUCGUUUGGACACUUGGCCAUCCACUCGCCAAUCGGCUGCCACAGACAUGGAAGUCAGCUCAGCAUGCUAAACGGCAUUUCUGUUAGCCUUACGCCGGGAUGACCUUCGGAGGGCCAUUCGGAACUCCAUUGGACGAUGACUUGGUCACCAGCUUUGGCGGGGAUGGUUCCAACGGGACUCAUGUCAUCAAACCUUUUGCAAACCUCGUAGCCACCCGUAGCAAUGGAUUUACUAAAGAUAUCGGCAAAUCCAAGAUCGGUCCUAUCGGUCUUUCUCUUAAGAGAGAAAUCAUCAGCGAGAAGUAUGUUUAUUACUACUACCGAUCUUUAAACGUGGCAACAUACCGUGUACUUUUGCUCAGGAAGCGCCCCCCAGACGGGAUCUAAAGAGUCAAGCCCUUGUUAAGGGCCGUGUAAUAAUCAUCAAGAGUCCAAGCGGGGUACUGCGGGCCUGUACCGACCUGGACCCAGGAAAGCUGGCCGUGGGCGGCGACCAAGACGGGGCAGAGGAGGGCGAGGGCGGGGAAGAGCAUGGCGGGAAAAGAGCGUGGUCUCUGUCAAAGAGCUGGAGUCGUCGGAGCGCAAGCCGGGCCUCCCAUCCUCCAACUUAUUAUAUCCAGAGAAAUCCCUUGUCGCCAAGACUCGCGUACAAGGCACACACCAGCACGCGUUUCACUUAUUAUCAAUCCCCCUUCCCAUCAUUCUCUUGGCAUCACUCCAUUCACCUCCACCGUCUAGAAUUACAUAGAUGCAUACCUCUCUAACCACGUCCGUCACACUCUCUACACCUCAGGUUCAGGCUCAAGGUCCCCAAAAGGCCGACUACGGAAAUAAGACUCCUCGAACCAGUGCACACGCACAAACCCGUCUUCAGCACCUGACGCAUAGGCCCGCCCUUGAGGAUGCACCGCGAGGGUGUUGAUAGGACCGCUGCAUAAGGUCAGUGUGUUCUGAAAAUGCACACGGAGGGCAAAUAGAACUUACAAGUGACCCUUUACACGGCCAACUUCUUCCUCGAACAACUUGUGGAAAAACCUGGACUCGAAUUUGCCCGCUCGUUGAGAGGUGGUUGUUACAUUCAUCGCAUCUUGACCGCCGCCGAGGAUGAUCUGGAGAGGAUACUGAGUAAGAUGAUCUAUCCAAAGGGAGUCUGGUAACACUUACGUAUGGUCGUUCAGGGGUGAUGACCGCACUGUUGACGGGGGUCUCUGUAGUGUAAAUUUUCAUAACCUCAAGAGUUUCAAUAUCCCACAACUACGAAUCACAUCACAAUCAGCAGCAGCUCUGCAAUUCUUAUGAUUCCCACUCACUCUCGCCGUCUUGUCUUUACUGGACGUGAUGAAAUAAGUCCCGUCCGGGCUCAGUUGUAUGUCGGAAAUCAACCCAGAGUGCUCAUCCUCAACAGCCUGCACCUCCUCUCCAGUCUUAACAUCGUACUUGGCAAUCUUUCCAGAUUCGUGGCCGGUGAUAAUAUAAUCAGACAAAGGAGCCCAGAUAGCAACGGUGGCACGAGACCCGCUGAGGCGCAUUUCAGUGAUAGGGGUGGUGGAUUCUGUACGCGAGUCAGCCGUAGCAAAAGAAAAAAAAACAAGUGAAAAAGACGAACGGGAUUUAGGGUCCUCUCUAUUGAUGGGAAAUAUUCUAGAAAUAAUGUCAACAGACUCCAGCGAUUUUGACGAAGACGCCAACUCACCUAAUCACACUAGGCUGUCCACUUCUCUGCUCAGUAAUGCUCAAGAACAUGUCAUCAUCCUCGCUGAUUCUCGAAUCAGUAUACCUUCCGUAUCCGUCUGGCAUAAAACAGGACCCACUUCCAUGCAACCCUCUUCACAGCGGUUAAAAACUCCCAGGUGUACAAACAUUCCCCAGUCUUGACUUCCCACAGUUUCAUCGCAUUGUCGG
rnacentral:sRNA from 1 species